UACAGAGGGUGCGAGCGUUAUUCGGAAUUACUGGGCGUAAAGCGCACGUAGGUGGCGACGUAAGUCGGGUGUGAAAGCCCCGGGCUCAACCUGGGAAUUGCAUUCGAGACUGCAUUGCUGGAGUACGGAAGAGGAAGGCGGAAUUCACGGUGUAGCGGUGAAAUGCGUAGAUAUCGGGAGGAACAUCAGUGGCGAAGGCGGCCUUCUGGUCCAGUACUGACACUCAAGUGCGAAAGCGUGGGGAGCAAACAGG
rnacentral:rRNA from 1 species